rnacentral:rRNA from 1 species
AUGGAUCAGGAGCUGAUCGAGCACCUUGAGGCCAAAGUGAGUGCUGACAGCACGAGAUUUCAGUCUCUCAUCGAUUUGUUCAUACUAACCAUCGACAGCGAGCACGACAUAUGCUACACCCAACCUGAGAAACUUCCAGGUAUCACACUGAGUGGCCAAACGAAGCAUUUCUUCCAGUGCAAUUCCAGGGCAUUCAAAAGGGGCACGUGGACGCGUCGCAAGAUACAGUCGGAGUGCGGCAUGCACGCGAUGUGGCACAAGACCAGCAAAACCUUGCCGGUGAUGAGGACCAACUCGGUGAUGCACCAGCACCACCUCGGGGACCUGGAGCAAGAGAAGGAGCGGGAGCUAGUCCUCUGCAAGUUGUACUACCUUGUCGUCCGCAAGUUGGUAUUGUUGUUAACGAUCUUUUGGUCGAGCAAGUGUCAACUGGGUUGUAGACUGCCCGGGGUUGGUUUUGUUUUUUACCAGGCCCAGCCCAUGACGAUAACGGGGCACAAAGAUCCAGCAGCCUCCCAGUCUGUCGUGGUGGACCAGCAGCCCAUUUGCUCGGCGGGCCAACCUACAGAAACCAGCACUCGAUUUUUCAACAAGCCCCAAAAACAACGCAGUACUAUGUUUGUUUUGAGGCCGAAAACAUCACGGCAAGGGUUGAGCAAGGGAGAGGGGAAGACAGAGUAA